rnacentral:rRNA from 1 species
UUAUCAAAAACAUGUCUUUUUGAGUUUAAUUUAAAGUCUAGCCUGCCCAUUGAAAUAAUUUAAAAGGCCGCGGUAUUUUGACCGUGCAAAGGUAGCAUAAUCAUUAGUUUUUUAAUUGAAAGCUUGUAUGAAUGGUUGAAUGAGAUAUUAGCUGUUUCAUAAAAAUUAUUUUAGAAUUUUAUUUUUUAGUUAAAAAGCUAAAAUAUAAUUAGAGGACGAGAAGACCCUAUAAAGUUUUAUAAUAUAAAAAUAAUAAUUUUUUUAGGAAUUUUUAGAUUUUAAUUUUUAUAUUAUUUUAUUGGGGUGAUAAUAAAAUUUAUUAAACUUUUAUUAUUUUUUUACAUUGAUUUAUGAAUAAAUGAUCCAAUAUUAUUGAUUAAAAAAUUAAAUUACUUUAGGGAUAACAGCGUAAUUUUUUUUUAAAGUUCAUAUUAAUAAAAAAGAUUGCGACCUCGAUGUUGGAUUAAAAUUAAUUUUAGGUGUAGAAGCUUAAAAUAUUAAGUCUGUUCGACUUUUAAAUUUUUACGUGAUCUGAGU